rnacentral:rRNA from 1 species
GAUGAACGCUGGCGGCGUGCCUAAUACAUGCAAGUCGAGCGAACAGAUGAGGAGCUUGCUCCUCUGACGUUAGCGGCGGACGGGUGAGUAACACGUGGAUAACCUACCUAUAAGACUGGGAUAACUUCGGGAAACCGGAGCUAAUACCGGAUAAUAUAUUGAACCGCAUGGUUCAAUAGUGAAAGACGGUUUUGCUGUCACUUAUAGAUGGAUCCGCGCCGCAUUAGCUAGUUGGUAAGGUAACGGCUUACCAAGGCAACGAUGCGUAGCCGACCUGAGAGGGUGAUCGGCCACACUGGAACUGAGACACGGUCCAGACUCCUACGGGAGGCAGCAGUAGGGAAUCUUCCGCAAUGGGCGAAAGCCUGUCGGAGCAACGCCGCGUGAGUGAUGAAGGUCUUCGGAUCGUAAAACUCUGUUAUUAGGGAAGAACAAAUGUGUAAGUAACUAUGCACGUCUUGACGGUACCUAAUCAGAAAGCCACGGCUAACUACGUG